rnacentral:lncRNA from 1 species
AGAGAAGGUGUGGGUGGACAAAGCAAAGCAGAGCCCUGACCUCACACCAGCUGGCUGAGCUGUCUUGGCUUGCAUUUGCUGUUCCAGCAUUUGUGGAGUUUGAAAUCUGCAUGCUUGGAGUGCGGAGAGCUGGAUCUUGCACCACAGUCUCCCUGUGGGCUCUUGAAUGAGAAAACCAGGGGAAGCAGAGGUAAGAACCUGUUCAAGAAGGCACAUCUCAGAUGUGGAAGAACCAUGAUUCAACUCGAGUCUGUCUGCUUCCCAAGACUGUGGUAUUUAAACAGCUUAUAAUGAAAAUUCCUUCUAUAGCUCCCCAUAAAAGGGCACACAGUUCUUUCUUAACGUAUUAUUUCAGGCAUUCAUUCACCAUUGAUGUAUUUGUGAAGGUGUUCUCUCUAAAUAAACUAUUGGGACCUUA